CUGUCUGAGAAGUACGGCCCAAUCUUCAGCAUCAAGCUUGGAACCAUGAAGGCUGUGGUCCUGACCGGCUAUGAGACUGUGAAGGAUGCUCUCAUCAACCAUCCCGAUGAGUUUGGAGGAAGAGGUCACAUACAAAUAUUUGAUGACUUAUCAAAGGAUCAUGAUGCUGCCUGACCUGCUGUGUGUUUCAAGCAUUCUCUGACUUAAUUCAGAUUUCCAGCAUCUGCAGUUUAUUUGAUUUUCUUUCAUAGGUGCCUUUCGAAGGGCCUAUUUCCUCCAUGACUAUGAUGAUUCUAAACCACUUUGUCUCCAAUAGCUGGGAUUUCAAACAUGAAUAGAAGAUCACCAUCUUGAAACAUAAGGUUGCCUUCAUCAUGCCUGGAUCUUCCCUUUUCUUUAAUUGUUGCAAAAGACCAUUAAGUGUGCAUAACAUGCAAACGCAAUUUAAAAUAGUGCUUCACUUGUCAACCAGCCUCAUGGGUAUGAGAAGGAUUUUUGAUUUCUGUACUUUGCUCUCAUGAUAUAGAAUAAAAUGUCUAAAA